rnacentral:rRNA from 1 species
GAUGAACGCUGGCGGCGUGCCUAAUACAUGCAAGUCGAGCGAACGGACGAGAAGCUUGCUUCUCUGAUGUUAGCGGCGGACGGGUGAGUAACACGUGGAUAACCUACCUAUAAGACUGGGAUAACUUCGGGAAACCGGAGCUAAUACCGGAUAAUAUUUUGAACCGCAUGGUUCAAAAGUGAAAGACGGUCUUGCUGUCACUUAUAGAUGGAUCCGCGCUGCAUUAGCUAGUUGGUAAGGUAACGGCUUACCAAGGCAACGAUGCAUAGCCGACCUGAGAGGGUGAUCGGCCACACUGGAAGGGGGACACGGUCCAGACUCCUACGGGAGGCAGCAGUAGGGAAUCUUCCGCAAUGGGCGAAAGCCUGACGGAGCAACGCCGCGUGAGUGAUGAAGGUCUUCGGAUCGUAAAACUCUGUUAUUAGGGAAGAACAUAUGUGUAAGUAACUGUGCACAUCUUGACGGUACCUAAUCAGAAAGCCACGGCUAACUACGUG